rnacentral:rRNA from 1 species
UAGGGAAUCUUCCGCAAUGGGCGAAAGCUUGACGGAGCAACGCCGCGUGAGUGAUGAAGGUCUUCGGAUCGUAAAACUCUGUUAUUAGGGAAGAACAAAUGUGUAAGUAACUAUGCACGUCUUGACGGUACCUAAUCAGAAAGCCACGGCUAACUACGUGCCAGCAGCCGCGGUAAUACGUAGGUGGCAAGCGUUAUCCGGAAUUAUUGGGCGUAAAGCGCGCGUAGGCGGUUUUUUAAGUCUGAUGUGAAAGCCCACGGCUCAACCGUGGAGGGUCAUUGGAAACUGGAAAACUUGAGUGCAGAAGAGGAAAAUGGAAUUCCAUGUGUAGCGGUGAAAUGCGCAGAGAUAUGGAGGAACACCAGUGGCGAAGGCGACUUUCUGGUCUGUAACUGACGCUGAUGUGCGAAAGCGUGGGGAUCAAACAGG